AUUGUCGCGUAGACAGGGAAUAGUACAACACAACACCUUUUAGAGAGAGGAUUCAUCUGCUGAAAGAAUCCUUAAGGAUAGUUAGUUGGAAGUCGCCCUUGAGCAUCUUCUCUGAAACAAGAAGUAGGAGAAGACGGUCCAUCCGUUAUUCAUGAGUGUACAGCAAGUUUAUUUAGACUUGCCGUAAAUAAAGGUGGUACCGCGGAGUCCUUUCGUCCUUUUU
rnacentral:ncRNA from 1 species